CUAAAUCUGUGAAGUAGCAGCUCUACUUACUGUGCAAUUCUACCACUUAGUACAACGCUUACUUAAAUAUAAUCCUACUGCACCGAAUUCAAAGCUGCUCCCAGUCUGUGUUACUCUUUUUGAUUAUAAACCUGACUGCUAUCAUUGCAUUAUUUUAAACCUGGGGGCACUCUAACAGGUCCAGGCCUUGCUCAGUCUGCUGCACACCUAUUGCUGGAACUUGACCUUAUUGCCCUCUCAUGGUAGAAGCUUGAAUUUACUCCAGCUCCCCCAUUCUUUCUGAUCCAAUCUAAUUUGGCAUCUGACACUGCGAAUGCCCUUGCGUAUUCUGAGACAAUUGCUUCACUCUUGCGAUGUCACCUGUGGCUCUUUCAAAUAUAAACCAGGAUUCUGAUUGGACGGUGUUGAAAGCAGGGUCGUGGCGCAGUGCUGCAAUUUAGCCUGUAAGGAAAACAAACCUUGAGACGAAGGGCAGGGCAGCCAGGUUUUUCAAAAAAAAACACAAAUUAGAUGGAUUUCUGUGGGAUGCCUUGAGGCAAGAGAAACAAUGCAUGAACAGGAUGAUUAAAAGCUCACGUUGGAGUUUAUAUUUCUGAAAUUAUGACUGUCACAGAUGCAGCUUGAUGUGCUGAGCAAUAUCAGUGUCAUUGUUUCUGCUUUUUGGUGCCCUGGGAACUUCAGUGCUUCACAGAUCUUGCGAUGCUUCAGAUGUCUGAUGGUGGAAGGGAAGAAGCUGUUCCAGAAUGGCAAGGGUGUUCAUAGAAUAUACAGAAUUUCCCAGGACCACUUGCCUCCAGGGGACCAAGGGACCAAACAGUUGUAAGAUUGCGGAAACGGAGGCCCAGCGAGUUUAAAGGGAGCACAGAAAUUGAGGAACAAGUUAAUUUCAAGGAAUGCAGGAAGCAUGACAGCAAAAUGCUUGAAGCUUCAGGAGCUGUAGCGCCUCAAACCUCUGCCUCCUGAAGAAGACAGAUCUUGGCUAUCUGGACAACUGGUCUCGGUUUUGGUGUGCACCUGCCUCAUAAAUCCUCUUCUGUCUGGAAUGACUUGAAUGACUCUUGCCACGAUCCAUGAGUUUCGUAGCGCUGAGUCGUCAUCUAUAAGCACAACAUCUCCUGGGAGGAAAUUGAGUUUUAUGCCUGACUUUCCUGCAGCUCUGGAAUGUACUCUUUGACUCACCAUUCCCAAAACAAGUUUGAUGUGUAUUGGACCUGCUUCCAUCUACGACAGCAUAAAUGUCUUCCUUUUGAAACUUUCCUGGUGUAAGUAUGGUGAGGUUUUCAGAAGCAACAGACGAUUGGGUGUUAGUACUUCCAAAUCAAUGGGAUUGGAAGAUGCUUUGAUAAUUGGAUGACCAUUGGUAAUAGUCCCUACUUCACAAAGGACUGUAGGGAAACCUUCUUUGUCAAGAUUCUGUAUCUUCAUGGUGCAUCUAAGGACCUUUCAUAGAAACAUAGACACAUGGAAAAUCUACAGCACAAUACAGGCUCCUCGACCCACAAAGUUGUGCCGAACAUGUCCCUACCUCAGAAAUUACUAGACUUACCUAUAGCCCUCUAUUUUACUAAGCUCCAUGUACCUAUCUAAAAGCCUCUUAAAAGACCCUAUCGUUUCCACUUCCACCAUCGUUGCUGGUAGCCCAUUCUAUGCAUUCACCACUCUCUGAGUGAAAAAACUUACCCCUGACAUCUCCUCUGUACCUACUCCUCAGCACCUUAAACCUGUGUCCUCUUGUGGCAACCAUUUCAGCCCUGAGAAAAAGCCUCUGACUAUCCACACAAUCAAUGCCUCUCAUCAUCUUAUACACCUCUGUCAGGUCACUUCUCACCUUCCUUCACUCCAAGGAGAAAAGGCCGAGUUCACUCAACCUUUUCUCAUAACACAUGCCCCCCAAUUCAGGCAACAAGAUGAAAUCUUUUGCACAGAUCUGACCAUGUUCCUCCAUAAUGUGAAACAGCAGGGAGUGGGAGGGUGUGUUUAAAAUCCACUUAAUUUCUUUCUGAAGAAGGACAUCACUGAUCUGUGAAUGAUUCCACUUCUCAAUGGCUCCUCUCCACUCACACUCAGCUCCAACAAGGUUUGCCACAUUGUCAGAGCACAGUUCAUGAAACUGCUUUCGUCUUGCUCUAAAGGUUAGAAGUGCAUUAACAAAGGAAUCUGUGUCCAAAAAAAUAGCACUUCAAUGUGAACAGCUUGUAUAGCUGGACAGGUAAAUAUGACCCCAUACCUCUUCACAGUACUCCACCUCAGAAGGUCCAAAGUAGUCCACUCUCACACAUGUAAACAGAGCUUCAUCUGAAAAUCUAUUUCUUUGGCAAGACCCAAUGAUCUCCAUUUCAGCCUUUCUGAUCUCUUUCACUGAGAGACAACCUUUGGCCUUCUCAAUCUCUCUCUUCAAAGAUCCUUGUUGUUCUUCAUCCAAGUCAAAAUGAACAAGAGCUAUGUUCAAUUGCUUCCUCUCCCAAAUAAGAAACAAAAGCAGUUUCUUAAAUCUAAAAAUCCAGGCCACUGUCUUCCUCAAAUGGGUCCAAGAUGAGAAGUGAUGGAUUAUAUGCAUUGCUGCAUCCACCUUCUCUUCUAUCUGCAUGGCAUUUAUUGUAACACACAGCUUGACUUCUGGAUCAUCUAGCAGGAGUUCUCCAGAACAAUCAGGAUUCACAGGCCAUUCCCUUUCAGGCUCAAGAAGAUCAUGAGGCCCUGACACCCAUAUUUCAUUCUUCAGGAAUGUUUUCACCUUCAAAUCUAAGGAGGCAACAUCCAUCGGGUUGCUUGAAGUGUUGACAUAGCUCCAUUGAGAUGCCUGUGAGACCUUAAGAAUUUCUUAAACUACUUCAGCACAGAAGCACUGCAUGUGCAACUCCUUCUUCCACAAUGUGUCCAUACGGCUUCCUAUCGUAGCAGCAAUAAGGGAAGGAAACUGACUUCAACAGAGCUAACCCUGAUUUUCCCAUGAUAAAAGCACUGUACACUUGAGAACGUGUGUUGUGCAACAAGAGGUAGGUUGCUGCUCCAUAGCCAUUUUCACUUGCAUCUGUAAAGUGUUGUAACUGUGCAGCAGUAACUUCUCCAAAAUCCAGGAGUUUCAACAUUUAACAGCCUUGAAUUCAGUAUAGUGUCAUCCCAGCCAAGUUCUUUCUUAGAGAUCUCGUAGGAUCUUCUUAGCAGAUAGAACCAUUGGACUCAGGAUUUCUAAAGUAUCAUAAAUGGAACUAACUGUGGAAGGAAUCCCCUUCUGGUGAGUGGUCUAUCUUGGAUCGUGAUCUUAAAGUAUCAGACUAAAUACACCAUCCCACACUCGGUGCUCUCUCCAUCUUGAUUUAAACCCAGAUCCUCAUGUCUAUUGCUCCCUCUUCUUCUGGUAUCACAGAUAGCACACUGUGUCAGUUGCUUCGCCACUUUGUGAGUCGAAAGUCACCUUUAGCACAAGUGUAUGAUAGCAAGAUACCACUUCUUCCUCAGAGGACACUGACACAAGGUGG